rnacentral:rRNA from 1 species
AAAACAUCGCCUCCUGCAAUACAACCAAGUAUAGGAGGUCCAGCCUGCCCAGUGACCACAAGUUCAACGGCCGCGGUAUUUUGACCGUGCAAAGGUAGCGCAAUCACUUGUCUUUUAAAUAGAGACCUGUAUGAAUGGCUAAACGAGGGCUUAACUGUCUCCCUUUUCAGGUCAGUGAAAUUGAUCUAUCCGUGCAGAAGCGGGUAUAACAAUACAAGACGAGAAGACCCUUUGGAGCUUAAGGUACAAAACUCAACCACGUCAAGCAACUUAAUAAAAAGUAAAAACUUUGUGAAACAUGAGAUUUUACCUUCGGUUGGGGCGACCGCGGAGGAAAAAAAAGCCUCCAAGUGGACCGGGACAAACUCCUAAAACCAAGAGAAACAUCUCUAAGCCACAGAACAUCUGACCAAACAUGAUCCGGCCACCAGGACCGAUCAACGAACCAAGUUACCCUAGGGAUAACAGCGCAAUCCCCUCCCAGAGUCCAUAUCGACGAGGGGGUUUACGACCUCGAUGUUGGAUCAGGACAUCCUAAUGGUGCAGCCGCUAUUAAGGGUUCGU